CUUCAGUGAUGAUACAAUGACGAGUCGGAACGGGGCACCGUCUGUCUCGGGGGGUGGGGGUCACUGAGUCAGGGUCACGUUUUGGGUCUCUGGGUUCAGUUCCCCAAGAGCAGUGUCUUCAGUUGAAGACAGAGACAUUUGUUUAAGAAGA
rnacentral:snoRNA from 1 species